rnacentral:rRNA from 1 species
GUGAGGAAUAUUGGUCAAUGGACGCAAGUCUGAACCAGCCAAGUCGCGUGAAGGAUGACUGCCCUAUGGGUUGUAAACUUCUUUUAUAAGGGAAUAAAGUUCGCCACGUGUGGUGAUUUGUAUGUACUUUACGAAUAAGGAUCGGCUAACUCCGUGCCAGCAGCCGCGGUAAUACGGAGGAUCCGAGCGUUAUCCGGAUUUAUUGGGUUUAAAGGGUGCGUAGGCGGACUUAUAAGUCAGCGGUGAAAGUUUGCAGCUUAACUGUAAAAUUGCCGUUGAAACUGUUAGUCUUGAGUGUAAAUGAGGUAGGCGGAAUGUGUUGUGUAGCGGUGAAAUGCUUAGAUAUAACACAGAACACCAAUUGCGAAGGCAGCUUACUGGGAUACAACUGACGCUGAGGCACGAAAGCGUGGGGAUCAAACAGGAUUAGAAACCCCGGUAGUCC